rnacentral:rRNA from 1 species
UACGAAGGGUGCAAACGUUGCUCGGAAUUAUUGGGCGUAAAGCGCACGUAGGCGGCUUGUCAAGUCGGAUGUGAAAUCCCUCGGCUCAACCAAGGAAGUGCAUCCGAAACUGCCGAGCUUGAGUACUUAAGAGGAUCGCGGAAUUCCCGGUGUAGAGGUGAAAUUCGUAGAUAUCGGGAGGAACACCAGUGGCGAAGGCGGCGAUCUGGGAAGAUACUGACGCUGAGGUGCGAAAGCGUGGGGAGCAAACAGG